rnacentral:lncRNA from 1 species
GCUGCUAUGAAACUGGUGAAACCUUUCAACUGAAGCUGCUCCCGUGCCUGCCUAGGAAUUUUGGGAAGGAAUUUUGGAAGUGGAGAAGGAACAACCUCAUCCAGGCUGCUGCCAGCUGCUGCCAAAGACUUCUCUUCCCUUUGGAAUUCCACCUGGGAAGUGUCACCUAACCAAAACCUCCACCAAAAUAUUCCUGGUUUUCCAGACAUCUGUGUUUUGUUUGAGUUUUCCUGCUGCUCUGGGAGCUGAGCAAUGGAUGCUGAAAAAGGGAUAAAAAUGGAUAAUGGGAUGUGAGAUGGAAAAAAACAUUGGAGUAUCAAACAUGGAUUCCCUGCUCCGACAUUCCAGGCAUGGAAAACUCUUUUAGAAAUACCGGCAUCUUCAGCACCUGGAGUCUGGCUUCUGUUUGUCUCAUAUCCCGUGGCCACGUGGAAGGGAUGGAGACGUCAGGAUAUUUUGGAUCCCUGUUUUUAUGGGUAAGAUUUGGGUUUGGAAUGGUGGGGAGGGGGGAAGGGGUUUUGGGGAAAAAUGGUUUUGGGGGAU